AUGAAACUUAUGGAUGGAAGAUUAGCUAGGAGGUUCUUCUCCACACAUGUCACACUUGCAUACAAAACGAUUUCCAGUUGCUUUUCGAUAAGCUAUGAAUACUCAACGCCCCAAAUUAACCAUGAAUUGCACUAAUUAACCCUCAGUUUUUUCCACAAGUUAUUAGGUUGGAUGAUUGCAUACGACAACCCAAAACAUUCCCUACAAGUUCCCUACAUGAAUUGCAUAAUAGAGAAACAAGCAAGAAUCAUUAAGUUCUAUGAAAAACAUAAGCAUUGACGAGGCACUCGUUACUAUGAUUUGCAUGAAACUUAUGCCAAAAGUUUACUUAACGUGAUUGUGACUAGCAACCUUCACUACUUGUGAAUAUAAGUUUAUAACGAUUAGGUGAAACUCCCUUAUAUUCUACCGUCAAAUUCAUGCAUGAAAAUUAAGCGUGCACUCUUAACCAACAUACACAAAUUAGUUUUUAUAUGAACGGAUAAGUAAAUUGAAUUCACAACUUAUGAAUCACAACUGGAUGUAAUCAAAUCAUAUUGCAAGUAUGAACAUAGUUUCGAAUCACCCCCUAACUAAGAGGGGUUUAGUUCCUCAUACUCACAAAGCAAAGAUACAUAAAAUUAGACAUUAAAAUCAAAGGAAAGAAAACACCUAAAAUGCUCCAACUUGGUAGCAAGUGCAUCCAAGAUUCCUCAUUUCCCUAUGCUUGCGGCAGAUUGGGUUAUGGACAGAUUUUGGGUAGUUUUAUGAUGUAGAAUGGAUGGGGAAUGGUAUGGAAGGGUUUAGGGUGAGUGUGGAGGAGUGUUUGAUGGUUGGAGGGUGGUGGAGAACUAGGCAAAGAGGGUGGAAGAAGGUGGAGUGGCUGUUAUGUUUUCUAGGCACUAGAAUGGUGUUUUUUGGGUGUUUUGCUUCCUAGGGUGUGUAUGGACGAAUUUUUGUGAUAAAA
rnacentral:lncRNA from 1 species